rnacentral:rRNA from 1 species
AAAACUGCUAACCUAGAGAUUGAAAGAGGAUAGAGGAAUUCCUAGUGUAGAGGUGAAAUUCGUAAAUAUUAGGAGGAACACCAGUGGCGAAGGCGUCUAUCUGGUUCAAAUCUGACGCUGAGGCGCGAAGGCGUGGGGAGCGAACAGGAUUAGAUACCCUGGUAGUCCACGCUGUAAACGAUGAAUGUUAAAUAUGGGAAGUUUACUUUCUGUAUUACAGCUAACGCGUUAAACAUUCCGCCUGGGGACUACGGUCGCAAGAUUAAAACUCAAAGGAAUUGACGGGGACCCGCACAAGCGGUGGAGCAUGUGGUUUAAUUCGAUGCAACGCGAAAAACCUUACCACUCCUUGACAUGGAAAUUAUACCUAUUCGAAGGGAUAGGGUCGGUUCGGCCGGAUUUCACACAGGUGUUGCAUGGCUGUCGUCAGCUCGUGUCGUGAGAUGUUGGGUUAAGUCCCGCAACGAGCGCAACCCUCAUCCUUAGUUACCAUCAGGUAAUGCUGGGGACUUUAAGGAAACUGCCAGUGAUAAACUGGAGGAAGGUGGGGAUGAUGUCAAGUCAUCAUGGCCCUUAUGGAGUGGGCUACACACGUGCUACAAUGGUGGCUACAAUGGGCUGCAAAGUCGCGAGGCUAAGCUAAUCCCUUAAAAGCCGUCUCAGUUCGGAUUGUACUCUGCAACUCGAGUACAUGAAGUUGGAAUCGCUAGUAAUCGUGGAUCAGCAUGCCACGGUGAAUACGUUCUCGGGUCUUGUACACACUGCCCGUCACGCCAUGGGAAUUGGUUUCACUCGAAGCUAACGACCUAACCGCAAGGAGGGAGUUAUUUAAAGUGGGAUCGGUGACUGGGGUGAAGUCGUAACAAGGUAGCCGUAGAAUCACUAGUGAAUUCGCGGCCGCCUGCAGGUCGACCAUAUGGGAGAGCUCCCAACGCGUG